AUAUCAUGGUGGGAAAAAUCGAAUGUUAUCAUGGUCCAACUUGAAAACAGACAUGUUCCUACAGUAUAAUGCAUUCAUACGCCUCAAAUUUGCCAUUUGGUGUCAGGAGAGACUCUGAGGACUGCUUCUUUUCACUGUAGAGCUGCAAAAUCCCCAGCAGAGGUUUUGGAGCAGCAUGAGGGGAGGCAUAUUGCAAGCUGUUGGGUAGCCUGUGCAUCUUGUGCUGAGAAUGAUCUUGAAGGUCUUCGUGUAUGGCAUGAUCAGCUUUCAGUGGAGAUUCUGAUUGCUUCCUGGCCUGGAAAAGACUUUUAAAGAAUCUUGAGGGGAUGAAGUUGGAUUCAUGUCAUUUCCUGAGUGCGUAUGGCAAACACGCUAUUUGCUGAUAA